AACGAACGCUGGCGGCGUGCUUAACACAUGCAAGUCGUACGAGAAAUCUGGACUUCGGUCUAGAGAGUAAAGUGGCGCACGGGUGAGUAACGCGUAGGUAAUCUACCCUUGGGUCUGGGAUAACUCGCCGAAAGGCGGGCUAAUACCGGAUAACAUCUUUCAGAGGGAUCUGAUAGAUCAAAGGUGGCCUCUCCAUGGAUGCUACUGCCUGAGAAUGAGCCUGCGUCCCAUUAGCUUGUUGGUAGGGUAAUGGCCUACCAAGGCCACGAUGGGUAGCUGGUCUGAGAGGAUGAUCAGCCACACUGGAACUGAAACACGGUCCAGACUCCUACGGGAGGCAGCAGUGAGGAAUAUUGCGCAAUGGGGGAAACCCUGACGCAGCGACGCCGCGUGGGUGAAGAAGGCCUUUGGGUCGUAAAGCCCUGUCUAGAGGGAAGAAACUCUCGAUGGAAUAAUACCUGUCGAGACUGACGGUACCUCUGGAGGAAGCACCGGCUAACUCCGUGCCAGCAGCCGCGGUAAUACGGAGGGUGCGAGCGUUGUUCGGAAUUACUGGGCGUAAAGCGGGUGUAGGCGGUUUGUUAAGUCAGAUGUGAAAGCCCACGGCUCAACUGUGGAAGUGCAUCUGAAACUGGCAGACUUGAGUACCGGAGAGGGAAGUGGAAUUCCUGGUGUAGGGGUGAAAUCCGUAGAUAUCAGGAGGAACACCGGUGGCGAAGGCGACUUCCUGGAAGGAUACUGACGCUGAGAUCCGAAAGCGUGGGGAGCAAACAGGAUUAGAUACCCUGGUAGUCCACGCCCUAAACGAUGGGCACUAGGUGCAGGGGGUGUUGACCCCUCCUGUGCCGUAGCUAACGCAUUAAGUGCCCCGCCUGGGGAGUACGGCCGCAAGGUUAAAACUCAAAGGAAUUGACGG
rnacentral:rRNA from 1 species